rnacentral:lncRNA from 1 species
AUUGGCAUCCGGUAUCCAAGUUUCAUUUUGUUUUAGGAGAUUAGUAUAAGUCCAUUGAGUGGCCUCUGAUAUCCAGUUUUGUUUUAGGAUCGCGGUAUAAAUCCAUUGAGUGGUAUCCGGUGUCCGCUUUUUGCUUUUUGUUUGUGAGAUUGGAGUAAGACCAUUGAGUGGCAUCCGGUAUCACCUGUUUGUUUACAUCAUUAUUACCUAUUGCUUAUUCCAAAGGACACACUUGAAUCAUCUCCCAUAUGAUUUCAAGAAGUGAACCUUCUAAGAAGUUUUACAAUCC